UGGCCUGCUGUCAACAUUCUAUUCUGUAAAGUGAGUGUGGGGAUUGUCCACAGUACUGAGUAUGUAAGUCGCCUUGGAUAGAAGCCUGUGGGCAAUCCCCACAGGAGCAAUUUGGGGUUUGAACCUGUGCUCCCCUGAUCCCAACACCAACGCACUAUCCACUGCGCCACACGCCUCCAUAAACAUUUGGGAUAAUGUGAGCACACAACUCAAGUAAUUACAUGAGGUUUUAUAUUGAAAAACUGUGAAAUGCAGCGAUUUAUUUUCAUAGAUUCGUAUUUAUUUUUUUGGAAAUGUACGACAGCAUGUUCCUGAUAUUGAUAUUUACGAGUGCUCCCAUUAGGCAUCAUCUUGUGGUCUGUAGACGUUUUAAUGCAGUGACAUGUUGAGAGAUGUUGGAGGCGUGUUAUCUCUGAGUCAGAUGCAGAUGAUACCAUUCUUUCUUUUUUCUGCAGCGUCCGGUUUCACAGCAGAUCUAAGUUUAGCCGCUCGCUGCCGUGCAGAAAAACACUUUCUGAACCGCUGCUAGUUUUAAUAACUCAAUACUUCACCUCCACUGAGAGCGGCCGGCGUGAGAGUCAGUUCGUAGAAAGAGAUUUGAGUCAGUUUGUAAUCAGAGGAUUUAAUGCAGAACCUGUCACUACAGCACUUUUUAAUUGAACGUAGAGAUUAAAAGUGUGUCAGCUGCUCCCUCCUGUGGUCAAACUAAGCUACUUUUCUUUCCAUGCAUUUGUUUACUGAGUGCUUUUAAUGUUGUUUUUGUUUACAUCCACAGUCGCAAGCAGUGUGUUUGAGUUUGUUCAAUUAUAGCCUGAAUUUAGAGCCUUAUGAAAACACUCCUACGGAAGAGGAUUAGGGACAAAUGGGAAUUCUUUUUUGAACGAGAUCAUCGACAGAGACAUCAGCGGACUUCAGUUCACGGACCAGCAGCCGUACCGCAGAGACUGAAACUCACGAGCCUCAAGUGCCUGAAAACCAUAGAGAAACACCGAGACGCCUCGUUAGGAAACACCGAGACGCCUCGUUAGGAAACAUCGAGACGCCUCGUUAGGAAACACAGAGACGCCUCGUUAGGAAACACCGAGACGCCUCGUUAGGAAACACCGAGACGCCUCGUUAGGAAACACAGAGACGCCUCGUUAGGAAACACCGAGACGCCUCGUUAGGAAACACAGAGAUGCCUCGUUAGGAAACACCGAGACGCCUCGUUAGGAAACACCGAGACGCCUCGUUAGGAAACACAGAGAUGCCUCGUUAGGAAACACCGAGACGCCUCGUUAGGAAACACCGAGACGCCUCGUUAGGAAACACAGAGACGCCUCGUUAGGAAACACCGAGACGCCUCGUUAGGAAACACAGAGAUGCCUCGUUAGGAAACACAGAGACGCCUCGUUAGGAAACACCGAGACGCCUCGUUAGGAAACACAGAGACGCCUCGUUAGGAAACACCGAGACGCCUCGACGAGAAUCACCGAUGCUUCGAUGAGAAACACCGAGACGCCUCGAUGAGAAACACCGAUGCUUCGAUGAGAAACACCGAGACGCCUCGAUGAGAAACACAGAGACGCCUCGAUGAGAAACACAGAGACGCCUCGACGAGAAACACCGAGACGCCUCGAUGAGAAACACCGAUGCUUCGAUGAGAAACAUCGAGACGCCUCGUUAGGAAACACAGAGACGCCUCGACGAGAAUCACCGAGACGCCUCGACGAGAAACACCGAGACGCCUCGAUGAGAAACACCGAUGCUUCGAUGAAAAACACCGAGACGCCUCGAUGAGAAACACCGAUGCUUCGAUGAGAAACACCGAUGCUUCGAUGAGAAACACCGAGAUGCUUGGAUGAAAACCAAAGAUCUUCUCACGACUGAAUCCUCAAAGAAAAAAGGCUGAAAUCCGACUUCCAGAAACACCAGAAACUGAAGACCGUCGUUAUUUAUUGGCCAGUUAAUUGUUAAGGAAUGUGUUUUUGAUACUCUGGAUCUGAUCCGGUUUUUAAAAGAAAAGUCCUUCAGCUGAUUUUUUGAUAUCGCUUUAACGGUUUACAUUUCCUCCCCGCUGUUCGUGUCGUGGUGUGAAGACACUGAAUCAGAGAUAUGUGUAUCGUAAAGGUUGAAGUAAAAACGAAAGAAAAUGUGA